rnacentral:rRNA from 1 species
UCUAUUUGUCAUCACUAACCCAUCAUCACUAUUGAAUAAAUUCAUAAAUUAUGAAAAUUACCAUGCUAGAACUAGUAACAAGAAAAUGUAUUUCUCCAAAGCGUAAGCAUAAGCCAAGACGGACAACCCUUUGGUAAUUAACGGCCUUGAGCCUAUUAUAGUAAAAUAUCUAGAAAACCCUAUAUCUUACACCGUUAACCUUACACAAGAACUCUCCUGGAAAGAUUAAAAGGAAGAGAAGGAACUCGGCAAAUCAUAACCCCGCCUGUUUACCAAAAACAUCGCCUCUUGCUGGAUAUAAGAGGUCUAGCCUGCCCAGUGUUUUAAUCAACGGCCGCGUGAUUUAAGCGCGCGAAGGUAGCGUAAUAAUUUGUUCUUUAAAUGAGGACUUGUAUCAAUGGCAUCACGAGGGUUAUACUGUCUCCUCUCCCCAAUCAGUGAAACUAAUCUCCCUGUGAAAAAGCAGGAAUAAACCAAUAAGACGAGAAGACCCCAUGGAGCUUAAAACACAGCAACAACCCUAAUUAGUUAAUCUAUAUAAUUUUAAGCCCUGUAUGCUAGUUUUAGGUUGGGGUGACCGCGGAGCAAAACAAAGCCUCCACAACGAAAAGGGCUUACACCCUUAUCCAAGAGACACACCUCUAAGAAUUAUAAUAAUAACGUAUAAUGAUCCGACCAUCGACCAACGGACCAAGUUACCCUGGGGAUAACAGCGCAAUCCACUUUAA